rfam:Sphingobacteriales bacterium 50-39 SCNpilot_cont_1000_p_scaffold_2, whole genome shotgun sequence.
AAAAGCCGUAUGAGGGGAGACUGUCACGUACGGAUUUGAGAGGGCUUAGGGCUGAAAUGCUCUAUUCUACUCGAC